rnacentral:SRP_RNA from 1 species
UCUGGGGAUAGUCGGACAUUCAGGAGCAUGAAAUCGGUCAGGUUCGGAAGAAAGCAGUCGUAGUGAACACCGAAUGGGUCGGUUAUCCUCUGUGUU